GACGAGCGAGCGAAGUUUGCAGAAGCAUUAKAGAUGGUCGCUGGCCUUUGGAAACGAAGGCAUGUGCACGUCUCGGUCCUCGUUCUCUUUCCUUUCGUAAAUCUUUGACACCCGUGCACCUCUUGUAGGUCCCUGCGAGGGGACCUAUGUCUUCACAAACUCUUUGUAUGUCCAGGAAUGUAUCUAAAGCGUCGACCGGCUUGGCUGAACGUCCAGUCGGCGACGGUAAAGAAUGUAAUACAACUUUCAGCAACGGAUCUCUUGGCUCUCGCAUCGAUGAAGAACGCAGCGAAUUGCGAUAAGUAAUGUGAAUUGCAGAUUUUCAGUGAAUCAUCGAAUCUUUGAACGCACCUUGCGCUCCUUGGUAUUCCGAGGAGCAUGCCUGUUUGAGUGUCAUUUAAUUCUCAACCAUCCCUCGAUUGAUUUUUCGAGGUUUGGCUUGGAUUUUGGGAGCUGCCGGCGACCGAUCGGGUCUUUGGCUCUCCUCAAAAGCAUUAGCGACGGCGGUGUGACCUCCCCCGUGCAUGAACGGCCUUCGACGUGAUAAUGAUCGUCGUGGGCUGGAGUGCUAGCGGGCGUCSCGUCGCGUUCGGCGCUUCUAAUUCUCGUCGAAAGACGAAAUAUAUCGAAACUUGACCUCAAAUCMGGUARGACUACCCGCUGAACUUAAGCAUAUCCAUAAGCGGAGGAAAGAAACUAACAAGGAUUCCCCUAGUAACUGCGAGUGAAGCGGGAUGAGCUCAAAUUUUGAWUCUGGCGGUCUUCYGGCCSUCCGARUUGUAAUCUAGAGAAGCGUCUUCCGC
rnacentral:rRNA from 1 species